rnacentral:lncRNA from 1 species
AAAAUAUAUAGGCCUAGGUAUUCCUUUAUAAAAUAUAUAGGCCUAGGUAUUCCUUUAUAAAAUAUAUAGGCCUAGAUAUUCCUUUAUAAAAUAUAUAGGCCUAGGUAUUCCUUUAUAAAAUAUAUAGGCCUAGGUAUUCCUUUAUAAACAUAUAGGCCUAGGUAUUCCUUUAUAAAAUAUAUAGGCCUAGGUAUUCCUUUAUAAAAUAUAUAGCCCUAGGUAUUCCUUUAUAAACAUAUAGGCCUAGGUAUUCCUUUAUAAAAUAUAUAGCCCUAGG